AUUAAAUUUUAACAUAUUUUAUGAUGAUCAGCAGUAUAAAUACUAGUAGAAGUAUUACAAGCUUUGGCUUGUAAAUACUUUUUAUUUCUGAACUUCUUGUGAAUUUAUUUAUUUAAUAGAAAUUUAUAAAAUCAGCAGAUAUAUUCAAACAGAUUGAUUUUUCUAAGCCUUUACAAUGUGCUAUUCGUGUUGCAACUGCCGAGGACCUUUUUGUUGUUGGCCUACUCCUCGACAAUGGGAGCAACGCUUUUCAGCAAGUGAGCAUCUAGUUACUCGAUUACAUGCUUUCUUGUAAGAGAAACUACAUACUAAGCUGAGUAUGCCACAGCAAAGAUAACAUCGCUUCCUUUGAAGCAUUUUAUAUGGUUUGAAGACGUGCACGGAUAUACACUAAAUAUGGAAUUGAAAACAAUUUUUAUCGAACUUGGACCAAAUUUAUUAACAGUUUUUAUACUCGCUACACAUAGAGUAGAAGACUGCAUUCACCUGAUGUAAUAUGAGCUAGCAGGAAAUUAGGAUGCAGAAUAUGCCACUUCAUUUAUAAAAAACGUGUGGGUUUGUAACGCGAUCGCUUUCGGCUACUUUCUAGUCCGAUGGAUGUAGGCAAUUAUUUAAUAACUUGCGUACCAACUCGAACUAAAAUCGAACAGGGAAGCAGCAAGGAAUGUAAGCAGGGUAGAAAAAAUAUAGCUAAAUUCAAGUAAGAAAGCUACAGUGUGCUCG